UACGUAGGGGGCAAGCGUUGUCCGGAUUCAUUGGGCGUAAAGAGCGUGUAGGCGGCCAGGUAGGUCGGUUGUGAAAACUGGAGGCUCAACCUUCAGAGGUCGACCGAAACCAUCUGGCUAGAGUCCGGGAGAGGAGAGUGGAAUUCCUGGUGUAGCGGUGAAAUGCGCAGAUAUCAGGAGGAACACCGGUGGCGAAGGCGGCAUCCUGGACCAACACUGACGCUGAGGAGCGAAAGCCAGGGGAGCAAACGGG
rnacentral:rRNA from 1 species